rnacentral:SRP_RNA from 1 species
AAUUUAAUAUUCAUUUUGCCGUGCUAAGCGGGGAGGUAGCGGUGCCCUGUACUCGCAAUCCGCUCUAGCGAGGCCGAAUCCCUUCUCAAGGUUCGUUUACUUCAAGGUCUGCCUUAAAUAAGUGGUGUUGACGUCUGGGUCCUGCGCAAUGGGAAUUCAUGAACCAUGUCAGGUCCGGAAGGAAGCAGCAUUAAGUGAAACCUCUCAUGUGCCGCAGGGUUGCCUGGGCCGAGCUAACUGUUUAAGUAACGCUUGGGGUAGCGAAUCGACAGAAGGUGCACGGUAAAUCAAU